GAUGAACGCUGGCGGCGUGCCUAGCACAUGCAAGUCGAACGAAGCACCUUACCUGAUUCUUCGGAUGAAAGUUUGGUGACUGAGUGGCGGACGGGUGAGUAACGCGUGGGUAACCUGCCCUGUACAGGGGGAUAACAGCUGGAAACGGCUGCUAAUACCGCAUAAGCGCACGAGGAGACAUCUCCUUGUGUGAAAAACUCCGGUGGUACAGGAUGGGCCCGCGUCUGAUUAGCUGGUUGGCAGGGUAACGGCCUACCAAGGCAACGAUCAGUAGCCGGUCUGAGAGGAGGAACGGCAACAGUGGAACUGAGACACGGUCCAAACUCCUACGGGAGGCAGCAGUGGGGAAUAUUGAACAAUGGGGGAAACCCUGAUGCAGCAACGCCGCGUGAGUGAAGAAGUAUUUCGGUAUGUAAAGCUCUAUCAGCAGGGAAGAUAAUGACGGUACCUGACUAAGAAGCGCCGGCUAAAUACGUG
rnacentral:rRNA from 1 species